CUUGAGCGAACCGAUCAGCACCGGGCGGUCGGGGCGCCGCUGCCCGUACGUCGCCAGCAGCGCGGUCGCCUC
rnacentral:antisense_RNA from 1 species